GACUCCUUGCAUCUUCUCAGUCUUCCUGGUGAUUUCAACAGCGCCACAUCUCCCUCGCUCCUCUCUCCAACAAGAUGCAUGCUGUCUCGUUGUGUGUGGUGGUGGCAUGCGUGGUGGGCGUGGUGAUAGCGGCCCCCAACGGCGUGGCGGUGGACCCCAACCUCUCCCUCAGCAGGACUUCGUGACCCACACACACCAUAAGACACACACCGUCGAUCCUGACUUCCGGAACUCCGAAUUCUACAAGGCCAUGGACCAGGCCGGAGCCAACCUGUUCAAGGGCCUGGGCGACGCUGCUCUUUCUCUCGGUGAUUUCCUCUCUCGCCUAGCUGGGGGCGGCCGUCCACACUAACUCCGUCAGAAGCAGAUCGCGCGAGUCUCCGUCGUGUAGUCUGUAGAGGAGAAGUGUGUGAGUGUCCUCCUGUGGGCGGCUCUGACGGCGGUGCUGCGCGGCAUCUCCUCUUGUGUUUGUUACUACUAACCAUUGAGUUAAGCACGGCCAGUCGCGGGCACCAAGUUCUUUAGUUUGUAUUGAAGUACUAAUACUAUAGAUCACUGUCCUUGAAACGCGUCGCAGUACCAGGUUAGGUUAUAGGAAGAGCGAGUGCUACCCAUUGAUUAUUUAAAGAAAGUGCUGCUGUAGAAAGUAAAAUGGAUCUAAAAUACAUUGGAGCCGUGAGUUAUGUGGCGUCUGCAAGCAAAUUAUCGGCGGUGUUUGUUCAGUUUUGUAAAGAAGAGGUAUUUCAAAAGAUGCGAUGAUUGAUAUGAUUGCUAUUGGUGAUGUGUUCAGUUUUCAUGAAGGAAAGCCGUUCAAAAGACGUAAUGAUUAAUUAAGCUGUGUUAUUGGUCAUAUUUACACAGCUUUUUAAAGGAGAGGUACUCGAGAGAUACAGUGACUAAUAUAACUACCAUUGGUCGUAUUUGCUCAUCUUCAUAAGCUUCAUAAACUUGCCUCAAUUCUUUAAAUUUUGUCAUAUGUGUGUGUAAUGUGUUUAAUCCUGUAUAUUUAGGAAUACAAGAUAGGCACUUUCAUGAUAUUCUGCGUUUCAUUGACGUGGGAAAGUCUUUUUAUUACAGUAUUCACACAGUUGAUGCUUAAGUACAUGAAGUCUUUCUUAAUACAUCAUUUCUAAGCAUAGAUGCCAACAACACUUCUCGAUUCCACCCUUACGUUGUAGAGAAAUAAAACCAUAUCGAUUAGAAAUAUAUUCCUGGCCGUUAUUUACAUUUUUUUUCCUCUUUGGAACGCUAAACUAACACGAUUUGAUUUAAUAGUGAAUGCUAAAAAGCGCGUCACCACCACCACCACCACAACCACUAUCAUCAUCAUCAACCUGAAGUUGCAUGGCGUAGAUCAGAAGAUGCCUGUGCUUGUGUUUUGUAUUGUUGAGUUUUGUACGAUUAAAACCUCUGAAGCAA